rnacentral:rRNA from 1 species
AACGAACGCUGGCGGCAUGCCUAACACAUGCAAGUCGAACGAGAUCUUCGGGUCUAGUGGCGCACGGGUGCGUAACGCGUGGGAAUCUGCCCUUUGGUUCGGAAUAACAGUUGGAAACGACUGCUAAUACCGGAUGAUGGCGAAAGUCCAAAGAUUUAUCGCCAGAGGAUGAGCCCGCGUAGGAUUAGCUAGUUGGUGUGGUAAAGGCGCACCAAGGCGACGAUCCUUAGCUGGUCUGAGAGGAUGAUCAGCCACACUGGGACUGAGACACGGCCCAGACUCCUACGGGAGGCAGCAGUGGGGAAUAUUGGACAAUGGGCGAAAGCCUGAUCCAGCAAUGCCGCGUGAGUGAUGAAGGCCUUAGGGUUGUAAAGCUCCUUUACCCGGGAUGAUAAUGACAGUACCGGGAGAAUAAGCUCCGGCUAACUCCGUGCCAGCCGCCGCGGUAA